rnacentral:rRNA from 1 species
UACGGGGGGGGCAAGCGUUGUUCGGAAUUACUGGGCGUAAAGGGCUCGUAGGCGGCCAACUAAGUCAGACGUGAAAUCCCCAGGCUCAACCUGGGAACUGCGUCUGAUACUGGUUGGCUUGAAUCCGGGAGAGGGAUGCAGAAUUCCAGGUGUAGCGGUGAAAUGCGUAGAUAUCUGGAGGAAUACCGGUGGCGAAGGCGGCAUCCUGGACCGAGAUUGACACUGAUGAGCGAAAGCUAGGGGAGCAAACGGG